UUAAAUUUUAGUAUUUGUAUUAUCUUUGGUCUUAAGUGAUGUUACGCUAUGUUUGCUACUUUACAUGUUGAUGUCGGAGACAAAUGUGAGUUGCUUGAAGGAAUGAACAUGUCAUAAUAAGUACCAAGUGAGUUUUUGAGCCUAUUAUUUUUCUUGGAGAAUAACCCUUUUGCCCACUCUUUAUACAGCUUAGCAGUUUAUUAUUUUAUA
rnacentral:lncRNA from 1 species